rnacentral:rRNA from 1 species
GACGAACGCUGGCGGCGUGCCUAACACAUGCAAGUCGAACGAACGGCGAGAAGCUUGCUUCUCAAAGUUAGUGGCGGACGGGUGAGUAACGCGUGAGCAACCUGCCCUUUUGUGGGGGAUAACGACGGGAAACUGUCGCUAAUACCGCAUAACCAGGUAGUACCGCAUGGUACAGCCUGCAAAGAUUUAUUGCAAAAGGAUGGGCUCGCGUCUGAUUAGCUAGUUGUGGGGCAACGGCCUACCAAGGCGACGAUCAGUAGCCGGACUGAGAGGUUGAACGGCCACAUUGGAACUGAGAUACGGUCCAGACUCCUACGGGAGGCAGCAGUGGGGAAUAUUGGGGCAAUGGGCGAAAGCCUGACCCAGCGACGCCGCGUGAGGGAGAAGGUCUUCGGAUUGUAAACCUUUAAACGAACCAGGGGACGAACAAAAUGACGGUACCUGUUAGGAAGCCACGGCUAACUACGUG